AAUUCAUGUUUUAUAUACUAGGAAAACCUUCCCUUGAAUUAUCUCCUGAUUCUUGGAAGUGUGUUGAGCUGUUAUUGCCAUCCGUAUCCCAUUGCUCUACAUCAAUAUUUGCCUAUUCAGUACCCCCUGAAGAAGACUUCCUGUAGUCGAAACGUUAUGUGUUCUUGCUGAAACGUUUCCUGAAGAAGCGGGCUAUCUCCUGCGAAACGCAAACUGCGUCGAAAUUACUGCAACUCACUGUGCUCCACCAUAUGGGAGCCACCAAGAACCUGUAUUCAAGGAGUACUAGAUGGUAUUGGUUAUGUUUUAUGUGCAGCUUUUGUGUGUUUUAUAUGCUUUUUGAUAUGUAUAA